rnacentral:lncRNA from 1 species
CUGGCAUCGGUCAGAAGCUCUUUCGUCUGUGCGUAUAUAUUUGUAUGCACGCUCCAGAAGUUCGGCAUAAGUCCGAGGGAGAGUUUUGUCCAAAAAAUAUAUGAAUCGAGAUCCCUUCAGAUCUCUUUUCAUGGUCGAUAUGGCCAUGUUUUCAUUGAGAUCCUUGACCUCAAGCGUGGCUGCAUGAAAACGGACCACAAAAUCUCGAAGUAUCUCAAUCUUUCCUU